UACGGGGGGGGCAAGCGUUGUUCGGAAUUACUGGGCGUAAAGGGCUCGUAGGUGGCCAACUAAGUCUGAUGUGAAAGCCCGGGGCUCACCCCCGGAAGUGCAUUGGAAACUGGCGAACUCGAGUCCCGGAGAGGAGAGUGGAAUUCCUGGUGUAGCGGUGAAAUGCGUAGAUAUCAGGAGGAACACCGGUGGCGAAGGCGGCUCUCUGGACGGUGACUGACGCUGAGACGCGAAAGCGUGGGGAGCAAACAGG
rnacentral:rRNA from 1 species